rnacentral:tRNA from 1 species
GGAAGGAUGGCCGAGCGGUUUAAGGCAGCGGUCUUGAAAACCGCCGUGGACACAAGCCCACCGUGGGUUCGAAUCCCACUCCUUCCGCCA